CGGGUGAGUAACGCGUGAGCAACCUGCCUUUAUCAGGGGGAUAACGCAUCGAAAGAUGUGCUAAUACCGCGUAAGACCACAGCUUCACAUGGAGCGGGGGUCAAAGGAGCAAUCCGGAUAAAGAUGGGCUCGCGUCCGAUUAGCUAGUUGGUGAGGUAACGGCCCACCAAGGCGACGAUCGGUAGCCGGACUGGGAGGUUGAACGGCCACAUUGGGACUGAGACACGGCCCAG
rnacentral:rRNA from 1 species